GGUGGGUUACUCAAGUGGCUGAAGAGGGGGGUUUGCUAAACCUGUAGGGUGCCGCAAGGCGUCGCGAGGGUUCGAAUCCCUCAUCCACCGCCA
rnacentral:tRNA from 1 species